UACGUAGGGACCAAGCGUUGUUCGGAUUUACUGGGCGUAAAGGGCGCGUAGGCGGCAAUUCAAGUCAGCUGUGAAAUCUCCGGGCUUAACUCGGAACGGUCAGCUGAUACUGCUUUGCUAGAGUGCAGAAGGGGCAAUCGGAAUUCUUGGUGUAGCGGUGAAAUGCGUAGAUAUCAAGAGGAACACCUGAGGUGAAGACGGGUUGCUGGAACGGUACUGACGCUGAGGCGCGAAAGCGUGGGGAGCAAACAGG
rnacentral:rRNA from 1 species